rnacentral:rRNA from 1 species
AAUGAACGUUGGCGGCGUGGAUUAGGCAUGCAAGUCGUGCGGUAAGGCUCCUUCGGGAGUACACGAGCGGCGAAAGGGAGAGUAACGCGUGGGUAUCUGCCCCCAGGUCUGGGAUAACUGUUCUAACGAGCAGCUAAUACCGGAUAAUGUCUCCGGACCAAAGGUGCGAUUCCGUCUGGGGAUGAGCCCGCGUCCUAUUAGCUUGUUGGUGGGGUAACGGCCUACCAAGGCGAUGAUGGGUACCGGGUGUGAGAGCAUGGCCCGGCUCACUGGGACUGAGACACUGCCCAGACACCUACGGGUGGCUGCAGUCGAGAAUCUUCGGCAAUGGGCGAAAGCCUGACCGAGCGACGCCGCGUGCGGGAUGAAGGCCCUCGGGUUGUAAACCGCUGUCAGAGGGGAGGAAAUGCAUAAGGGCACGUCUCUUAUGUUUGACCGAUCCUCAGAGGAAGUACGGGCUAAGUACGUGCCAGCAGCCGCGGUAAU